rnacentral:rRNA from 1 species
UACGGAGGGUGCAAGCGUUAUCCGGAUUCACUGGGCUUAAAGGGUGCGUAGGUGGAGUGGUAAGUCAGUGGUGAAAUCUCCAAGCUUAACUUGGAAACUGCCGUUGAUACUAUCAUUCUUGAAUAUCGUGGAGGUAAGCGGAAUAUGUCAUGUAGCGGUGAAAUGCUUAGAUAUGACAUAGAACACCGAUUGCGAAGGCAGCUUGCUACACGAUCAUUGACACUGAGGCACGAAAGCGUGGGGAUCAAACAGG